GGGUUGUGCUCAGUGGUAGAGCACUUGCCUGGCAGGUGUGAGGCACUGGGUUCAAUCCUCAGCACCACUUA
rnacentral:tRNA from 1 species